AGUGAACGCUGGCGGCAGGCCUAACACAUGCAAGUCGAGCGGCAGCGGGUCCUUCGGGAUGCCGGCGAGCGGCGGACGGGUGAGGAAUGCAUCGGAAUCUGCCCUGUCGUGGGGGAUAACCUAGGGAAACUUAGGCUAAUACCGCAUACGACCAACGGUGAAAGCGGGGGUUCGCAAGAACCCGCGCGAUAGGAUGAACCGAUGUCCGAUUAGCUAGUUGGCGGGGUAAAGGCCCACCAAGGCGACGAUCGGUAGCUGGUCUGAGAGGAUGAUCAGCCACACUGGGACUGAGACACGGCCCAGACUCCUACGGGAGGCAGCAGUGGGGAAUAUUGGACAAUGGGCGCAAGCCUGAUCCAGCCAUGCCGCGUGGGUGAAGAAGGCCUUCGGGUUGUAAAGCCCUUUUGUCCGGGAAGAAAUCGUCUGGGCUAAUACCCCGGGCGGAUGACGGUACCGGAAGAAUAAGCACCGGCUAACUUCGUG
rnacentral:rRNA from 1 species